rnacentral:lncRNA from 1 species
GGGUACAUAAUUACGUAUCCAGAGCAACUAUGCAGUGCAAGAUACAGUGCCGAUCACUCAAGAGCUGGUUCCGUGCCCUACUGCUCCGUGCUCUGUAGCGUUGGGGGUAGUCCGGGCUACCGGAUCUAUCCUAUCCAGUACGUCCUGGCCCUGUUUUGGCAUGUGUUGACUCCAUGAUUUCGCUGGUCCAUCCAUCUCCUACCUACUCCACUCCACUGCAGAAAAAACAUCAGGAGCUGC